UAAUACGAAGGGGGCUAGCGUUGUUCGGAAUUACUGGGCGUAAAGCGCGCGUAGGCGGCGACCUUUGUCAGAGGUGAAAUCCCGAGGCUCAACUUCGGAAUUGCCUUUGAAACGGGGUUGCUUGAGUCCGAGAGAGGAUGGCGGAAUUCCUAGUGUAGAGGUGAAAUUCGUAGAUAUUAGGAAGAACACCGGUGGCGAAGGCGGCCAUCUGGCUCGGUACUGACGCUCAGGCGCGAAAGCGUGGGGAUCAAACAGG
rnacentral:rRNA from 1 species